ensembl:lncRNA
GGUGUGAUUAUGAGGAUUUGGCCUAAAGAACAGAUUGAAGUGGAUGGCAAACUUCAAAAGCAUAUAUUCCCAAAUCCCAAGACUUCUCCUGGGAGUCCCACAAGUGCCAGGUUCAUCCUAUAAUCCCUGUUGAGAUAUGGCCAAAUGCAAAGGCCAGGACCAGUUAGGUAUUUACAUGGCAUGUAAAUAACAACCCAAACCCUUUCAAUUAACCUCUUUCCUGCUAGAUGUUUGUGAGGUCCACAAUCCAAUUACUGAAAAGAAAGAUACUCUCUUAAUCCUGCUGCUGCUGCUUCUAAGUCGCUUCAGUUGUGUCUGACUCUGUGGGACCCCAUAGAGAGCAGCCCACCAGGCUCCUUUGCCCAUGGGAUUCUCUAGGAAAGAAUACUGGAGUGGAUUGCCAUUUCCUUCUCCACCCUUAAUCCUACCAAGAAGUUAAAGGACAAUGUUGAGAAAUUGGUUUGGCUAAACCAGUUGGCUAAUUGCCUUGAAAGGAAUUGAUUUUGCUCUGUUCUGUGUCUUCAACUCUAAGUCUAACCCUGGUCAGUGGAGGAGAAUGAUUGCCAAAGAUUUCGACGGGUCCCUCUGAGAGUGUGUCGGACUGCAGUGAAGAAGGACAGAGCAAAUCUCAGGAUCCUGAAGGACUCAGAAGCUGUUUGCUCCUCCCCCUACAGAGUGCGUCCUUUUCAUGGGCAGAGAAUGGAUCUUUGUUAUCAGUAUCUCUUCCAACACCCCGGGCUUAAAGAAAUGUCUAACUCCCAGGGAACCUGGUUUUGGGAAACACUUCCUGGAAAAGUUGACUACCAGAUGCCUGUUACCGUGGCUCCAGAGCCCACUAAAGCUUUGAGUUCCUCCAGGAGAGGGUGGGUUUUGGCAGCUCCUCUUGCCGUUCUAACAACCCAGACACCAGGACACACCCUGUUGACUUAGGAACGCUGGAGAGGAGCAUUUGCUGGAAAUGUCUCUUCUGUUAUUCAGUGGCCAAGUGACUGAUUACUUCUAAGACAGUGAUUUCAUGAGAUGAUAGAG